GGAGUGGUUAGCUCAGUGGUAGAGUGCAUGCCUAGCGUGCAUGAGGUCCUGGGUUCAAUCCGCGGUACCUCCA
rnacentral:tRNA from 1 species